UUCCGCUGAGAGGUGGGAGUGCUCGAAAGAGAACCGGCGCACAGGUGCUGCAUGGCUGUCGUCAGCUCGAGUCGUGAGAUGUUGGGUUAAGUCCCGCAACGAGCGCAACCCUUGUCCUUAGUUGCUACGCAAGAGCACUCUAAGGAGACUGCCGGUGACAAACCGGAGGAAGGUGGGGAUGACGUCAAGUCCUCAUGGCCCUUAUGGGUAGGGCUUCACACGUCAUACAAUGGUCGGAACAGAGGGUUGCCAACCCGCGAGGGGGAGCUAAUCCCAGAAAACCGAUCGUAGUCCGGAUUGCACUCUGCAACUCGAGUGCAUGAAGCUGGAAUCGCUAGUAAUCGCGGAUCAGCAUGCCGCGGUGAAUACGUUCCCGGGUCUUGUACACACCG
rnacentral:rRNA from 1 species